GGGCGUAAGGGCUCGUAGGUGGUUGAUCGCGUCGGAAGUGUAAUCUUGGGGCUUAACCCUGAGCGUGCCUUCGAUACGGGUUGACUUGAGGAAGGUAGGGGAGAAUGGAAUUCCUGGUGGAGCGGUGGAAUGCGCAGAUAUCAGGAGGAACACCAGUGGCGAAGGCGGUUCUCUGGGCCUUUCCUGACGCUGAGGAGCGAAAGCGUGGGGAGCGAACAGGCUUAGAUACCCUGGUAGUCCACGCUGUAAACGGUGGGUACUAGGUGUGGGGUCCAUUCCACGGGUUCCGCGCCGUAGCUAACGCUUUAAGUACCCCGCCUGGGGAGUACGGCCGCAAGGCUAAAACUCAAAGGAAUUGACGGGGCCCCGCACAAGCGGCGGAGCAUGCGGAUUAAUUCGAUGCAACGCGUAGAACCUUACCUGGGUUUGACAUGGAUCGGGAGUGCUCAGAGAUGGGUGUGCCUCUUUUGGGGUCGGUUCACAGGUGGUGCAUGGCUGUCGUCAGCUCGUGUCGUGAGAUGUUGGGUUAAGUCCCGCAACGAGCGCAACCCUUGUUCACUGUUGCCAGCACGUUAUGGUGGGGACUCAGUGGAGACCGCCGGGGUCAACUCGGAGGAAGGUAAU
rnacentral:rRNA from 1 species